ACUGAGCUGCAAUGUAGACAUAUGCAUUAAUAUGCAGGUACAAUGAUACAUCCAUCCAUCCAUUUUCAUCCGUUACUGGGUCACGGGGGCAGCAGUCUCCAUGACCUCCACCCAAAUCACACUGCACCGUACCAACCCCCUAAACCUUCCUGUGGGUGGUGAGUCCACUGGAAGGUACCAACCACCCUAACCGGGAUUCGAACUUGCCCAGGAGGUGAACCCUGGGGUUCCACACCCAUGACAGAAACAUUUUACUUGCUUCUUUGUCAUCCUUCACUGUUUCUUUCCUGCAUUUCAUAAUAUUUGAACUUCAAGCUAAAAAUGAUGGGGCAACAAUGUUAAAAGAAAAAAAAAAACGUUUUCAUUAUCAUCCAAUCAAAGCUGAGAGCACUUUGGAGCAUUGUCCUGUCAGUCCACUCCUAUCCUGCUCCAUCUGCAACGUGUUAAUAUGUGGACCGCAGUGAGGGCUGCCCUGCUAAUGGCUUUGUUUUACAUCGCUGAGCUGCCAAAUGAUGCGGAGCAUCAUCUCUGUCCGAGGCCUCCACCGUCAUCGCAUAAAGCAAGAUACGGCAGACCGCCCCGUCACCUCAGCUCUGUCACAGCAACUCUGUCCAUGUCAAAGUAAGAGCUUUGUUUUUCACAUUCCUAUAUCUUCAACUUCCUGGGCUCAGUUUCCACCCACUGCCUUCAGCUGCCCUCUAUUCAUCAGUCUGAUGUGUGAAGUCAGAUAUAUUUCUCCUACCAACGUUGCCCUGUGGUGUAGAUGCAUAGUGUGAAUUUCUCAUCGGUUUUCCACGCUUUUGUUCUUUGACAACUCUGCCCACGGGUUAACAUCUCCUGCUGGGUUUCCACACUGACCAAUCACCAAGCCUACGUCCACAAGAUGCCCAUAGAAUUCCUCAGACUGCUGACCGGCUGUGAAAAAUAAAACCAGCAGAAAACCGGCAACAUGUCGACCGCGCCAAGGGUCCCAACACUGAUGCUCAUCCCUGGUUAUAAUGUCAGCAUUAGCAUACGGCCGUGACAAAUAAACAAAGAUGGAUCAGCAACAGCCCCAGGACCUGGUCUACGGAGAUCACAGGAGCUCAGGAGAGCCAUGCAUCUUUAUCCACAUUGAGAUCUUCUCCCCAGAAUCAGCAGGGAGCAGGAAGACCAGCAGGGCCAGACCAGAUAUGAGGACGCAGGGGAUGAGCAGGUUGAGGCCGUAAUAAAGAGUCCUGCGGCGCAUGGUGACCGUGAAUGUCACAUCAGGGUCCCACUCUCCGUUGGGGAUGUAGGUGGAGAUGUCUACAUCCAUCAUCUGGAGGUCCAGCAGCCAGCCGUUGUAGGUCCAAGAACCAAACUUCAGAUCACAUUUCUGCACAUCGAAGGGGAACCAUCGGACAUCGAUGUAGCAGGUGCUUUUUAAAAUGCCUGGGGAGAAAGCUCUGACGUUCCUGUCGCUCCAAAUGCGCAAGGACGCGCAGCCAAAGUCAUUGAGUGUGACCGGAGCCACAGCUCUCACCCGUCUGACUGAUGAUCAUGCAGCUCCUGUGAGAGACACAUAUAUCCUUCAUGGACCGGCAGAGCGUCGCCGGGACUCACCUUGACAGUAGAACGUCACCCACAGAUAAACUCCGAUCAGUACACAUCCCAAACUCCUGUGAAGCUCCAUGGCAGCGGAGGAGCUGCAGCCGUGUCCGAGCGUCAGUGCAGCUUUGGGAAACCUGCUCCUUAUUUGUACGCAGAGUCCGUUCCUGAUUAUUCAGACCCUCACGCCGCAGCUCCAUCUUUCAAUUUUGUUCCUCUGGAGGAAAACCAAGAACUUUUGGAUGUGUGAAAUUACAAUCCUGGUUCUGGACAUUGAUAAAUCAGUUCCUGCCAGUACAUCAGGAUUGUGUUCAACUAAGCAAACCAGGCUUUAUGAAGUUCACCAGAAGUUAAAGUAAAAAAACAACAACAACGUCUGGUCGGGAUCCUGCAGCUGGAGGAACGUGCUGAGAGGGAUCUGCUGUUUAGUGGCUGGUCUACACCGCCUGAGAAACUGAGCCCAGUUUGAAAGCAGCAGACAGGCAGCAAAAGGUCAUAUGCUUUGACCAAAGGUGCAGGUUUCAUGCACAGGAUGUAUGCCACCUGUGGCGGUGAGCAGCAGCAAAGAGUGGACUCCUUGGGGGCAGGCUCGCCCAAACACCCACACACCAACUCGUCUGCAUGAGUCAGAUGUGAAGCUGUUAAUAAUAGAAGAGGAGACUGAGGUCAGACCGUCCAGGUGCAGGGGAAACAGAGAAGAUGCUGCCAUUUUUAAUAAGACUCAUCACCAGGAAACUAGGCCAACGAUGGAACGCCAGGAUCCACACAGAGCUGAGAUUUAUUGCUCCAGAGAUCCUUUGCUGCCACGCGGUGGUGAUACUGUAAUAUUACACCCUACGAACCAGAGUCGCAUGGCCAGCCAGGCCUGGUUCUCGUCCUCCUUUCCACUGAGGGGCGCCCUCUGCUGGUUACCACAGUGACCAGGGCCACCCUUCCUCCCUGCAGCUUUGCAGGACUUCCCCUCAGGGCUGUGUGUCUCCAUGUCCAGCAGUCUGGGCAGCCUCUGGAGGAACAGGCUCUUCACCCACGGAGCCAUUGGAUGGUAGGUGGCAGAGGAGCGGUGGUGGACAUUGAUGACAAAGACAGUAACGAUGAUGGAGAACGUGACGAAUAUCAUGAUGAACAGCAGGUAUUCACCAAUCAGUGGGAUGACCUGGGGCAGACGAAGAAAGGAGGAAGACGGUGAGGGACACGAGCACGGAUGUAGAAAGAGACAGUUUCUCUCCUUCAUCUGAAGCGUUUCAGUUUUGUGGGAUCAAUGCACCAACCGAGAAUAAUCCAUCCCAGCCCACGGCCUACUCCUUCAUCUCACUGUGUGGAGAACAAACAGCUCUCCAGGUGGACAGGUGCUGCGUAUCAAAGCAACAACGGAGCAGCUUUGCCAAAUAACACAGAGGCUCGGGGAGAGUGCGGUGACCCAGCAGCUGGGGCAGGAGGAAUGAAAGG